GAUCAUCGAGUUGCAGACUGUUAGGAUUUGAUCCAACUCCCUUUUUUUAGGAGAUCUUAAACAAUCCUAUUAAGAAAUUAUACUUAAUGAGGAACCCUAAUUCAAUACGGGGAAAGAAUCUAUGGAAGUGGUGAGAUCACUAUACAUAAUUCAUUAUUACUUUCUAGUACUAGAGCAUUAUGACUCCAUUGUUAACCUUAUUCAGUCUGUACUUAUUUUCACACCGGAAUUAUCCCCCGGCGGCCCAAACCGACAAACUUUCGGUGUUUACCCGUUUUUGUGCAGGAUUAAAUGCACUUUGGUGAUUAGAGCGUGUGGACGGAUCUUGGCGUUAACACAGACGAAGCUUCAUGAUCAUAACGAAGGCCGAGCAACUGUUUCAUCUGAUAGGUACAUAAAGAUUAAGUCUCCCCAAUUACUGUAUUUCUCCCUCCAAAUCUAUAUUUACUUUUACAUAUGAAAAUUUGAUUUGUUCCAAUUUUACUGAUGUCUCUGCAAUAUGCAUGUUACCUGAUUGAUAAAAUGCCAAACAAAAACAAAAUAUUUGAUAUUUACAAGGUUGCUUAACUUCAUGGUAUUCAUUUUUUUUACAUACCCAAUAAUUUAGUGUGUUAAGUUUGUAUUUAUCUCGCCUAUUUGUACAGUAAAAUCAAUUGACCCAUCAAGCCUUAAGGUUUGUCUAAUUUAAGUUUUUGAUUUUUUUUCAAACAAUAAUCGUUUUAUUGAGAAGUUCAGACUAAUGGAACCCAAUUUUCUUCCCUAUCUCUAAGUUCUUAUCUAUAUUGUCAAUUUAAUUUGUGAAUUAAGAAGAUAACUUUAUAUUUAACUUCCGUCAAGUUUGCCUUGGUAAAUUUCUUUGUACUUUGGUUCAUAUUGUUUCGGGGGAAAAAAUAGUAUGGAUUCACAAAGAAGAGGUAACUUGACCUGCCAUUUUUAUAAAACUAACUGUGAUGUGUUUGAUUCUUUAGCUAUAUUUUUUGAGCUAUCCUAUUAUGAUUUCAAUUUUAUUUUAUUUUUAUUCAAGCUUAGACUUUAGAGUAGAGACUAUUAAUUUUAGUGAUUGGACUGUUAUGAUAUCUUUGUGAAAGAAGUUAUAGAUUGUUUUUUUUUUGUGGGUAGAAUGUCAUUUUUAUGCAUGGAAUUGAGAAUAAAAGGUAGACAUUAUUCAUAUAUUUUAUAAAUAAUGUUUAAUAGUGAAUGUAUGAUUUUAAGAGGAAUAUUGACUACCAUGUCAAUAUAAAAAUGUGUUUAUAUAAUAAUUUGUUUGUGUUAAGUUUUGUUAUUAUUCAUGGUAUUGGAUCAAACUAAGAUUGCUGGAUUGUACAAAAUAAUCCUGAAAAUUCAUAUUUUUUUGAUUAAGGGAAUUAUAAUAAGCAAAUAUUUGCCUUCGUAAAACAUAGUGAAUGUCUACGUUCAAUAAAUUAUUUGUACGUUUACACUUUAAACUAUUAUAUGUACGCACCACAAAAGACUAUGACUAUGAAAAAGGGUAUCCCAUUCCUACGAAAAAUAAUGAAUGUAUACGUUCAAUUUAUUUCAUUUUUAUGUGAAACGAAGUACAUGGUGAAUUUGAAGUUGUUGUUAGACUGAUUUUUCAUUGAAAAGAUGGUUGUUGUAUUUCAAAAGUUGAUUUAUGUGUUUAGUAAAUGAAUGCAAUAAUAGGUGGAUCGGGUGGGGAAAAUUGAGCCAAUUGGUCAGCUCAGUCGAGAAGAAUCACUGUCAUGGGGUCUCGAAAUGUGGACUGCUUCGAGAAAUUAGAGUACAUUGACAAAGACACUUAUAGGUAAAACUAAUUACUUAACUAUAUAUGCAUUGAUUUACUUCUUACUUUAUAUCUAUUGUGUUGAUUGUUGUUUCAAAUUAUACUGUUUUUUGAAUGUUGUUGAUGUGACGUCUCCAAAUCCGAAUAUCUUUCAACCCAUUAGAUAGUGCUACACGGUACUACCAUUCACACUUACAUUCAAUUGAAAAGCCUCAAUAGAACGAAUAUGUCUUCUAUAUAAUUAAAAUAAUAUUAAUAUUUCCUCCAGGUUCUUUAUAACCAUUACAUUGUUCUUGUCAUAAUAUCAAAUAUAUUACAAUCAUUCACCAUAUACUAUUACAUAAAUAUUCUACGGGUUCGUCUUCGCCUUGCCUUUAUCCUUGCCGGAGCCUUCGGUCCGCUCGAUCUUAGCUAUGUUCAUAUAGUUCAAGCAAGAGUGAGCAUGACUAGCUCAGCAAGUACAACAAUUCUAAUAAACAACAUACUUGAAACAUAGGAAUCAUAUAUCUUCAAUAACUGAACAAUAGUUAUGAAGUACUAUCAAUAAUUCAAAAUAGCACUUCUUUUCAUUCAAAACGUUUUACAAUAACAAUAUUCAGUAAAACAUCAAUUCCGGUCCAAGACCUUGAGCAUUUUAUAAGUUCUUUGAAAAGGACAUCCCGACACUAAGUCCGUAAGUCCGACAUUUUUUACGAGCACGUCUAGGUGAUCAACCUAUAGUACUCUAUGUUGAUCAACACUACAUUCAUUAAACGUGUGUACGUUUAAGUUGUGGCAACCUCACGUGCCUGUCGUUUGACGAUAAAAUAUUUUUAGCAUACUCAGUCUUCGUUUGAAAACCACACCAAUAUAACUUGGUAAACAUUGACCAUGCUUGAUAGAAACAUAAUAUAAGUCUAGCCGAAAAAAAUUGGCUUUGACUUCAUCAUACAAGACUUCAUGCGUAAGGAUACAUGAAUUACAAAGCUUGUUCAGACUGAACUGGAACAAGGGUUAGAAUACUUGCCUUUAGCGUCUGCUACAGUUAUAACACGUUCUCGAUUAAGUCUUUAAGUCUCUACAGUAGAUGAUAACAUCACAUAACACAUUAGGUCAUGAAUGAAUAUACAUGGUUCGUAAUGUAUCUUACCCUUCUUCUCAAUCUAAUUAUGACUUAGAUUUGUUAUUAUUGGUUCUGACUUUUCCGAUAUAGUUCACAUUGUUCUUACGUUCAUGUUCAAUUCGUUAUCAUACCCUAAGGUUUAACAAUACCUUAUAAUGUUAAAAUUAAUCUUUACUUCCUUGAUAAACUGUUACCAUUUUUUCUCUACUUGCAAACCUUCCUUACUAUGCCCCUCUUAAGUCUGGCACUGCGGUGCCAGUCAUCCUUGUACAACUCGCGCUGCGACGCGAGUUUCAUGUACCUGAUGGUCGAGUCCGGCGCUGCGGCACCACAUAUAACAUACUGGGCUGCGCCGCGACGUGACUCUGCAAAAGGUUGUGACACUGUGCUCGGCGCUGCAGCGCCGCCAUUUGUCUUUGGGUUGGCGCCGCGGCGCAAAUCUGUGCCUCAGAUAGCAUUGAUAGAUUUUUAACUUUGCGAAAUUCCCGAACGCAUAACUUCUUCAUUAUAAGUCCGAAUUGGCCCGUUCAAAAGCCUACGAUUCAAAAAUUUCAUACUCUACCCGUUCAUGCAAGAAUUUUAUCUAUUUGUCUUUGUUUGCUAAAAUUUCACCUAUUAGUUCAUUUUUAACGAAAACGGUAAAUGUUCGUGAACGUUCAACGCUCGUUUCAUCGUUAUAAGUCGGAAUCCGAUCAUUUUCGAGUCCACAACUCUAUAAUGCCAAAUAUGACUUGUCUCCAUCGAAAACCAACAUUUCCGAGUUCAAACACAAAAUUCAACUUCUAUUCCGAGAAUUUCACGAAUUCGACGAUUAUCGUUUAAUCGUGUGAAUUCCGGCGAAACUUCAUUACUAAUGAUUUGAUCAACAUUCUAAAUGGAUUCUAACCAUCAUAUGAACAUUUUAAACUACUUAUUACCUCAACUUAUUUUCAAGUUAGAUUUUGACUUAUUCUUCAUAAGUUCAUGACUUAACAACUUAUAAAUUACAAAUUUUCAUUCCUUAUGACUUAUUAUAGAUUUAAGUCCUUUAAUCAACAUUCUCACAUCUUAUCAAACAUACUAACUUCAUAUGGAAAACGUAUGACAAGUUCAUUAUAAGUUUAUAACUUAUUUAGGUUCAAGUUACUUAUUCAUGACUUAAUCGGCUUAAGUCCAUUGCUUAUUCAAUUCUUACAUGUUCUUAGCAUACAUGCUUAUUAAGUUACACUUCUCUUAUCACCCUACAAUGAUAAAGAUGAAGAUUUAUUAGACAAGAGUCUUACCCUUGAAGAACUAGUACUUCUCUUCUUCUUGGAAAUCUAGCAAGGAUGUUUGACUUAUUCUUGGCAUAAUCUCUCUAACACUUAAGUUACUUAACUUGUUGGAAGUUUGGAGGAAAAUGAACAAGUAAAAUAAUAAAAUCUAACUUGCUAUUUAUAGACUUGGCAAAGCUAGGGCAUUAUGGUCAUUAAUCACCCCACCUCCUUAACUAACCUCCUUACUAUUCAUUUCUUGCUAAGCACAACACUUAUCUCUUCCUUGGUCAUUACUUAAAGUACUUGGCUAUCACACAAAGGUCUUGCCCACCAAGACAACCCAUAUCAACCUUGGUUGCUCCAUGGAUCAUGUCUAACCAAUUGGAUCAAUACAUUGGGCUUAAAUUAAUUAACUUAGCUUAUUCAUUGUUGGGCUUGCAUUAAGUUACUUUGGGCUUCAUAUUAACCAAUACUUGGGCUAAACCUUACCAUAACUUGGGCUUGCACCUUCAUUCUUAUUGGAUUUUACCAAUAUUUGCUAACUAUCCUACAAGUCCCACUUAAUUGGCUAAAAGCCUUAUUACAUAUACUGUACGUAUAAUCCUUGUAUUCUAGCUCGUAUAUUAAUUCGUAAUAUACGUUAUUCCAUUCUUCAUACAUACUUGUAUAAUACUUCGUAUUAUACUUGUAUUCAAUACCUCGCACAAUGCUUACGUAUCAUACGAUCAAUAUAAUCUCUUCUUAACGCUUAAUAUUCCUAACGUUCUCUAAUUAAGUCUGCAUGUGAAAUAUUACGUUUUUCAUACUUAGAUUAUUAUUACAUAAUCCAUCUCACCUUGAUAUUAUAACGUUACGGAUUUCUCUGAAGUUCAAAAAUAACUCCCGAGCGAAAAUUGAUGAAUAGUAUUUUUCGAAAAAUUUCUCGAAAAGCUUUUAUUUUCGUUUUAAAAAUUCAAACACUUUAAUUCAUUCAUGUAGUUAAAAUACUAUGACUUUCUGACAUUCAUAGGUUAUAGAACGACAUUCAUCUUAUUAACACAUAAUAAUAACAAAUAAUAUUAUUUUAUUCAUUAUUAAAUUAUUUUACAAAGGAUCCGAAUUUCUCGGUCGUUACAGUUGAUGGAAUUCGCCAAUCUCUUAAUUUUAUGCUACAAUAACUCAAUUAAUUUACAUAAAUUGUGUACUUCAAGUUCUUUUUGACAUGAAUGUCGGGCAAAUUAUUGAACAACUAAGGAAUUUUCAAUUGACGAUGCUUAGUGCCACUGAGCUGCCUACGCAAACUCAAUUGUGUACUCCCUAUGAUGGGGUGAUCAAAUAUGCACCCUUUGUGCGACAAAUUCCACCAUGGUUGUGAUGUUAUUAUGUUUUGUGCCUUUACUAGAUUUCCAUGCUCAAGUUAUUUCUUUUCUUUAUUUUUUUUAAUACAUGAUGAACUGAAUCCUUAGGUUGUGUUUGAUAAACCUUAGAGUUAAGAUCUGAAUGAUUAUGAUAUCUUAAUAAAUUAAAUCAUCUCAAUGGUUAUGAUGUCUGAAUCUAAAAAAUUGUUUGAUAACUAAAAAGUAAGUUGUAAGAUCCCAACUUAUUAUAAAUGAAAUUGAAUUAUUAUUUUGAAAUAAUAAUGGUUGAUUUGAUUAAUGUGGUUAGUUAUGGGUAAAAUGCGCAAAUAUUUCAAAUAAGCAAGUGGUUAUAAAAUAUUCAUUGUUGUCGGGGAAUAUUCGUUUGGUCGUGGAAUAUUUUUGCUGUUGGGGAAUAUUCGUACGACGGCGCAACCUUGUGUGGGCCCCAUAACGAAAAGCGAUUAGAUGAAGAAAACGACAAGUAUAAGUUAUUUAUAAAUAACGGCGUAGUUGUUACCGUUAAUAAUGUUGGAAUACUCGGUGGUUAAAACACAGUAGCACACGGUAUUGCACCAAUUAUUGAUUCUUACGUAAGAAGGCACUACUCAAUAAUUGUUACAGUAAUUACUGUUUAAUAUUUUAUUUUAUUGAUUCAAUAAUUGUUACGUUGAUAUUUUAUAUUAUUGUUGUUGUUUCAAUAAUUGUCACUACACAAUAUUUUCCAUUAUCAGAUCAAUAAUUCAUAUUAUUUGAAUAAUAUUAUUAGAUAACGUUAUUGGAAAUGUUUAGAAAGUUCUGUUUAAGGAGAGGUUUGUUCACCUAAUUGCGCGCUAGUAAGGAGAAAUUCUUAUUGGAAAGCCCACUCUUUCCUAGGAACGGCCUGAUUGUCAGUAUUGUGAUUCUAUAAUAUUAUUUAUAAAUAAUUAAUUAUUGAUUUAUAUGAUAAGGAAAAUAUUCAUUUUAUAUGGAUAUAGAUGGAGAAAAUUUUUAAAGUGACAAUUGUUGAAAAUUGAUAUUUUAUCUUGUCUGAUAAAAUAAUUUAUUUAAAUAUAUUAUUAUAUUAUAAUAAUAUAAUAAUGGUGAUAUUUUUACAAUGAAUGUGUGAUAUAUGAAUAAAUGAGGAGGAAGAGUAUUUUUAUUAUAAAAAAUGUUUAACACAUGUUUUGUGUGUUGAUGGACCCCAUUUUUGACUGAAAUUUGAUUAUAGCCUGCAAAAUCGUCCGUAUGUGGAUUUCGGUCAUUUUCUGUUUGGAAUUUGGAAAAACUUUCUUCUGCAAAGUUGUAGAGAAUUAAAUUUCCUAUGAAAUGGACAUAAGAUUUGAAUUUUUCUGAUAAAGGCUAUUUAUUAUGAAUUAUUGAAGUUCCGGAAUAUUGGGUCUGAAUUAAUUUUGUUACAAAAAUUAUUUAAAACAUGUUUUUCAUGUUGGCGGGCCCCAUUAGCAUGUGUGAAUUGCUGAAAUUCAUAUUUCAAAGAGUGUGUAUAAUAUUUGUAUAAAUAUUAUUAUUUUAUUAAAUUUUUUGCUUUGGUGUUCUAAGUAUUUUCUUAUAAAUAUGGUGCUUAUGUUAGAAUUAAAAAUCACACCAGAAACUGAAGUUUUCUCUCUCUAUAUUAUCGAGCGUAUUUUUGUGAGUAUUUAGAUAUCUUGAGUAUAUCUGAUAUUCCAGCCAGAAGUACUAUUCUUUUGAAGUAAGAGAUGUUAUUUUUUUUAAUAAAUGAUAUUAUUUCUUUCAAUAUCAUUAUGCCAAAAUAUUGGUAAGAUUUUUCUUGUGAAAUUCUUAUCUUUUAUGUCGGGGUUACUAUUCAUGAGUUACUAUUUAUGAAUUACUAUUCACAAGUUACUAUUCACGAGUUACUAUUCACGAGUACUAUUCACGAAGCAUGGUGAUUUUCUUGUGAAAUUUCUACCUUUUAGUGUCAGAGUUACUAUUCACGUAUACGGCAUUAUUUACGAAUACGACACUAUUCAUAAAAAAAUUAAUUUUUUUUUCUGUGUCCAAGAUUGUCUGUUAUGGUUCCUAUCUUUGAUUGGAUCUAUGUUUUGAUAUUCAUUUUUGAAUUCUGCUCCACAAUAGUUUAUUAUGGAGUAUUUUUGAACUUGGAUUGUCUAAAAUACGAAUCCUUAAUAUUUGUUCUUUUGUCUCACUGGAUUUGUUUUCUUUAAAAUAUUUUUCAUCAUCCUUAGUCCUAAAUGAUGAUAUUACUGAAUAUCUUUGGCCUGUAGUGCAAAGAUGAAUGAUUUCUUGAUGAAUAUCUUUGGCCCGUAAUGCAAGAUGAACAGGUGUUGAGAUGAACAUGACCAACUGAUGAAUAUCUUUGGCCCGUAGUGCAAAGAUGAAUAUUUGAUUCAAGAUGUAUAUUGAUUGAUGUUACAUGGAUAAAAUAUCGAUGAUGGACUUUUAAAUUUAUAGAUGAUAGUAGAUUUCAUUCUCUACUUAACUCUUCUAAUGAAUUGUUGUUUCCGCUGUAGUUGUUAAUCUAAAACUUGUUGCCUAUUGUAUUCUAUCAGAUUUUUCCCUGUUGAAGACUAAGGAUAAUUUGUUGUACAUUAUCUUAGUCAUAAUAUUCUUUACUGGGCUAGUUGAGCUCACCCUUUUUCUUUUUGUUCCAUUUUUCUUCUUAGGAGACGAGAAUAUAACGAGAACUAGUCGGGGUGUAGAGUGAUGGUUCAAGACAGUUGUUUUAGUAGUCCUCACUAUUCUGUAAAAUAGUGUAUCAAUAAUUGUAAUGAGAACUUUAUUUGGGUGUGGAUAUUGUCUAGAAGAUAAUAUUUGUAUUUAAACUCACAGCAUAAGUAUUGUCGUAUUUUGCAUGACAAUUGUAAUAAUGAAGUUGUAGUUGUUUCUGUACCAUGUAUUUCACGACUUAGAAUAGGUUGGGUGGAUUGGACCUAUUUUGGGGCGUCACAAUUAGUGUCAGAGCUUAGGGAUAUGAUCUCUGGCGGAGAUCGGGGAAUAGAACUAGGAGGGGAGAUACGAGUAAAUCCUUCGCUAGUGUGUCCUACCUAAGCUUAUUUGUUGGUUGGUCAGAGUAUAGGGUUAUUAUUGUUGCAUGUCAAUUUCUUUAGUUAACUCUUAUUUUAUGGCAAUAUUUGAAAAUGGCAACUGAGAAAGUUAACACUGGAGUAAAUGAGACCGUGGAGACGUCUGUACUCACCAAUCAGGAGAGCGUGCAACAUGACGAAAAUGUUCAUCCUGUAAACAACACCACUGAUCAGACGAUGAACGAUGGGAUGUUUAGAAGCUUUAUGCAGUUCAUGCAAAAUCAGACGAGGGAGACUCGUGUACAAAAUAUGGGUGAAAAUGAUAGCAACGCGUGGUUUGUCACAGUCAAGCAGUUCAAAGAGUUGGGACCACCAGAAUUCUGGGGAAAGCCGGAUCCGAUUAAGGCGGAGACGUGGGUCAGGCAAAUUACCAAGAUAUUCGAUGUCUUGGGAUGCAUGGAGGAACAGAAGGCUCCAUUUGCCACUUUUAUGUUCCGUAAUGAAGCAGAUUACUGGUGGGAAUCUGUGAAGCGUACCCAGCCAGCCGCACUCAAUAUGUCUUGGGAAACGUUUCAGAAACUGUUCAAUGACAAGUACUUUCUUGAAAGUAUUUGUCAUAUGAAGGAGGUAGAUUUUAUUAGACUAGAGCAGAACAACAUGACUGUGACGCCCCCAAAAUAGAUAUACAUCACCCAUCUUGAGUCGUCAAAUACAUGGUACAAAAUUCAAAUACAACUUAAUAAUACAACUGUCGUGUAAAAUACGACAAAACAUAAACUGAGAGUUUUAAUAAGAAUAUUGUCAUCUAGACAAUAUCCACACUCAAAGGAGUCCUCAUUACAUUUAUUGUCACACUAUUUAACAGAAUAGUGAGGACUACUAAUGCUAUCCUCUGGACCGUCACUCCGUUCCCCGACUAGUCCCCGCUAUGUUCUCAUUUCCUGAAGAGAACAAUGAAAGCGAAAGGGUGAGCUCAACUAGCCCAGUAAGAAAUAUUAUGACUAAGAUAAUGCAGAAUAAAUUAUCAUUAGUCUUCAACAAUGUUAAACUGAUAAAAUACAAUAGACAUCAAGUUUAACUACAGCGGAAUAAGCAAUCCAUUAGAAGAGUCAAGUAGAGCAUGAUAUCUACUAUCUUCUAUGAUUUAAAAUGUUUUCAUCAAUUUUUUUUAUUGCUGAGACUCAGCUUAAUAAAUAAACCACAUCAUCGAAUCCUCCCUGCACUACAGACCAAGGAUAUUCAUUAAAUCAUCAAUGGUCAUGACUAUACCGAAUAAUCCCUAGUCAUAAUCAUACCAAAAACUGUCCAUCAAUGAACUACAGGCAAAUAAAGACUUUUACCACAUCAUUCGUUACAUUACGGUCAUGAUUAUACCGAAUAAUCCCUGGUCAUAAUCAUACCAAGUCCAUCUAUGCACGUAAGCCAAAGAUGACUUUCAUCACAAUAUAAGGAUGAGGAUGAUGACAAUGAUAUAAGCAAUAAUCAACGGAAAUCAAAUCAAACAAAAUCAAGGAUAAAUAUUAAAGACUUUAAAUUUAUCCAGAGUUUAAAAAUAUCCAAAUUGUCAACAUGAUACUGCUUUGUAGAGUAAAAUUCAAGAAUAAUAUUCAUGUACCAAAAAUAAUUUGGACAUAAAAGAAUAUAUUUUUUGAGUAAAUAGUACCCCGUGAAUAGUACUUCAGGAAUAGUACCCCGUGAAUAGUACCCCGACACGAAAAGUGUCCCGAAUACCUGAGUGAAUGAUACUAGGGUGAAUAUUAAUUGGGUGAAUAGUAACCCGUGAAUAUUAACUCGUGAAUAGUAACUCGUGAAUAAUACUCCAACACGAAAAGUACCCCGAAUACCCGAGUGAAUAGUACUAGAGUGAAUAGUAACCCGUGAAUAGUAACUCGUAACAGAAAAAUACCAAAGAAAACGAUAUUUCAUGACGAGUACAAAAGAAAUGAUAUCCCAGAUGAGUAUAAUAGAAUAUACGAAACUGCAAAUGGAUUUUUACCUGCCAUGCGGUAAUCCACGUAGAUAGAUCAUUUCCACAAAUUAAUAAAGAAUGAAUACAAAGGAUUAUUUACCAUGCAUGCGGUAAUCCACAUAGACAGGUUAUUCCAACAGAAUAAUAAAGAAUGGAAUAACAGAAGAAUUCACCAUGCAUGCGAUAGACCGCACAGACAGGAUAUUCCAACAGAAUAAUAAAGAAUGGAAUAACAACAGAAUUCACCAGGCAUGUGAUAGACCACACAGACAGGUUAUUCCAACAGAAAAAUAAAGAAUAGUAUAACAGAAGAAUUUCACCAUGUAUGCGGUACUUCGCAUAGACAGGUUAUUCCAACAUAAUAAUAAAGAAUGGAAUAACAACCCUUACGAGUAUUGAAAAAAAAUAACUCUCUUCAUGAAUACGAAAGAAUAAUACCCCUUACCUCAAAAAAAGACUGGAUACUGGAAUAGUGAGGUAGCAGACUUCUCUUCUUCUUUCGCUCUAUAAUUUCUCUCUAUAAUAAUUGUUCUAUAGCUUUAGUGAAUUGGUGAGAAAUGAAGGAAGAAUGAGCUUCUAUUUAUAGGAAAAUAUAGUUUCAAUAAUUGCACAUUUUGGGGCUCAAAAUAUUACAGUAUAAUACCUUCCUCUUUUUUUUCAUUUUUAAUUUAGUCCUGCAAGUAUUAUCAAACUUUCAUCAUCUCUCCUAAUAGUAAAUCAUGUGAAUCAAUAGUAAAUCAUGUGAAUCAAUAGUUCUAGACAUGUGAAAAUACGAAUUACAGUAUAGUACCUCCAUCUAUACCUCCAUUUUUAACUUAGUCAUGCAAGUAUUAUCAAUCUUGCACCAACUCCCCUAAUAGUAAAUCAUGUGAAUCAAUAGUACACACAUGUGAACACAUAGUUAUAAGCAUGUGAACUAAUAACAAUUAAUUGCUCAUUUAUCCGGUUAAUUACCCGAUUGGUCAAUAUAACCUCCAGACAUCAAUUAUUAUCAAAAUAAAUGUCGAUUUCCACUAACACUAAUAAUUCCCAUACAAUGGAAUUAUCAAUUUUAUCUUUAAUCAACACGAACUUAUUCAUCAUUAAUAUUAUAAUUUACUAUAUUUAACAACCAGGUCGUUCCCAGGAAAGAGGGGGCUUUCCGAUAAGGAUUUCUCCUUAUUGGCGCGCAAUUAGGUGACCAAACCUCUCCUUGACAGAACUUCUAGACAUUGUCAAUAUUGCAAAUAAUAAUAUGAAUAACUUUGUCGUCUCAAUUAUUGAUUUAAUAAUAUAACAUAUUAUACAUAUGAUACUGUGACAAUAAUUGAAUCAAUAAUAUGAGAGAUAUGAUGCAGCAAUUACUGUAGCAAUAAUUGAGUAUAACUGAGUGACUUCUUACGUAAGCAUCAAUAAUCAAUACCGUGUGCUACUAUGCAACUACGCGUAUUACUGUACUUUUACUACCGGGUAGUUCAACAGGUUUAACGGUAACACUUUCACCGUUAGUUUUAUAAAAAGAUAAUUCUGUCAUUUUUUAACUACGACAAUACUUCCGUUGUGGGGUCCACCAAUGAUUGUGCCGUUGUACGAAUAUUCCCUGUUAAAACGAAUAUUCCCCAACCAAUCGAAUAUUAUAUAACAACUUGCUUACUUUGCAAAAUUUAUAAAUAUUACCAACAACUAUAACAUUAUAUCAAAUCCACACCAUAAUAUUCAAAAAAAUAUUUCGAGAAAUUUAAAUCUUUAUUCAUAAAAUUUGGGGUCUCACAAUGACGGUGUCCCAGUAAAAGGCGAAGUUCGCGGAGUUAUCCAGGUUUGUACCUCAUUUGGUGGAGAAUGAGGAACGUAUGACGCGGAUGUUUCUGAGAGGUUUGAAACCCGACAUACGUCAAUAUCUCAUUUCUCAUAAAUUUUUUAUAUAUUCAGAUGUUGUCAACAUGGUUCAAUUAUUAGAGCGAGAUAACGAGUACAUUCAACCAAGGGACCACAACCAGGGUCAUACCGGUGACAAUAGUCAUCGGAGCAAUGAUAACCAGCGAGGAAAGAAAAAUACGGACAAAAGCGGUAACCACUCUGGUGGUAAUCAUGACCAUGAAAAUAGAAGAAGCGAGUCAGGGGGAGAUUUUAAAAAGAGGAGAUUCAACAAUGACAAUGUGAAGACGUCAGCACCAGCAACAUCUGGUUCUAAGGGAGGAGAACGACCACCGGUCGUAUGCUAUAAAUGCGGAAAAGAGGGACAUAUCAGCCCAAACUGUCCACAACAGUUCAAGGUAUGCUAUAAUUGUGGAAAGGAAGGACAUAUCGCUCGAGAUUGUACGGUAGCAAAACCAAGUCCAGUGGGGAUGGUGACUCAAAAGGCUGUCCCAAAAAUGUCAAAAUCGGCGGUUCCUGAAAGAGCAUUUGUCGUGACUGGCCAAAACGUGAGGAACUCGAACGAAGGUAUCACGGGUUAGUUAAUUAUAUAUUCUUGCAAAAUCUAUACCUUAUUAGAUACCGGUUCUACCCAUUCAUUUAUCUCUCUUGCUUGCGUUCAACGUUUAAACUUGACUUCGGAGAAAUUAGACUUUGACUUAUCUGUUGAGACUACGUUAGGAGAAACUUUCAUUACAUCCACUGUUUAUAAAUCUUGUUUGAUCCAAGUUGGCACCAUCACAUUACCUGUUGAUCUUAUCUCUUUAAAGAUACUUGCUUUUGAUGUGAUUUUAGGGAUUGAUUGGUUAACUACUCAUUAUGCCAAAAUUGAUUGCUUUCGUAAGGUUGUUAGUUUUCAUAUUCCUAAGCAACCUGUUAUUCGAAUUCAAGCAACCAAACCAUUGAAGUCAAACUCUUUCAUAUCAAGCCAUAAAGUCAUUCGUUUAUUGAAAAACGGAUGUCAAGUUUUCUUAGUCCAUGUUAUGGAUUUAAACAAAAAUACAUCAGAUUUGAAUAAUAUUUUUGUUGUUAGUGAAUUUUCUGACGUAUUUCCUGAAGAAUCUCCUGGCCUACUCCCAGAGCGUGAUAUUGAAUUUGUAUCGACUUUGAACCCGGUACAAAACCUAUUUCUAAAAUCUCAUAUCGAAUGGCUCUUAUUGAACUUCAGGAGUUAAAAACCCAACUAUAGAAGUUGGUACCCGAGCCUCUAUCUGAUGACUUCUUUUUUGGAAUGCACCGAAGCUAGACUCUCCGUAGGGGACGCCAUAUUCGUGCGGUAGUAAACUGAUAGGUGCCAUUGUGACUUGCUAUCCAAGAUUGGGAUAUGAGUCAUAGUUGAGAGCAACCUAAGUUAGUAAUCGAAAUACUUAGCUUUCUAGGCUUAGCUGGUUACUAUUGGAGAUUCGUGCAAAGAUUUCUCGAAUCGCUACUCCAUUAACUCAACUGACUCGUAGAGAUACAAAAUUCAAAUGGAGCAAGGAAUGUGGAAGAGCUUCAAAGAACUCAAGAGGAGACUCAUUUCGGCACAUGUUCUGACCAUACUAUCCCGGAAAAGUGAACGUGGUAGCUGACGUGUUGAGUAGAAGAUCGUAUAUGAGUACGAGUGCGAUAUUGUCAAAACCCAUUUCGUAUAACUUACAAAUGAUAGAGAUAGAGUUAAAGACUCUAGGGACCCACGUGAUGAUAUACGAGUAUAAUCGACUUUAAUUGAUAAAAUUAAAACCGCUCAAACUACACACCGGAGCUGAUGAAUAUGAAGAAGGAGGUACAAGAAGUUGUUAUUCCAAAAGUGACAAUCGGCGAUGUGAGGAAAGCUCAAACCUUCGAUUUAUUAAUCCAUUUUAAAUCCUUGAUCAAGUAUGAACUGUGGCCUAUAAACUCGCUUUACCACCAAGUAUGUCGCGUGUUUAUAAUGUUUUUCACGUAUCGAUGUUACGUAAAUAUGUGGAUGACCCGAACCAAAUUAUUGAGUUAAAACAAGACGAGAUAACCGAAGAUUUAACGUACGAGGAGGUACUUGUCAAGAUCUUGGAUAGGAAGGAGCAUGUCCUACGCACAAAGGUCAUAUCACAAGUCAAAGUUUUGUGGAGGAACCAUGUUAUUGAAGAAAUGACCUGGGAGUUGGAAUCAAAAAUAAAAACGAGGUAUCCUCACCUUUUUGAAAUACCAGGUACGUAUGUCAAUUUCGAAGACAAAAUUUCAUAAGGAGGGGAGGUUGUAAAACCCCAAUUUAUUAUAAAUGAAAUUGAAUUAUUAUUUUGAAAUAAUAAGGGUUGAUUUGAUUAAUGUGGUUAGUUAUGAGUAAAAUGCGCAAAUAUUUCAAAUAAGCAAGUGGUUAUAAAAUAUUCAUUGUUGUCGGGGAAUAUUCGUUUAGUCAUGGAAUAUUCUUGAUGUCGGGGAAUAUUCGUACGACGGCGCAGCCUUGUGUGGACCCAUAACGGAAAACGAUUGGAUAAAGAAAACGACAAGUAUAAGUUGUUUAUAAAUAACGGCGUAGUUGUUACCGUUAAUACUGUUGAAAUACUUGGUGGUUAACACAGUAGCACACGGUAUUGUACCAAUUAUUGAUUCUUACGUAAGAAGGCACUACUCAAUAAUUGUUACAGUAAUUACGGUUCAAUAUUUUAUUUUAUUGAUUCAAUAAUUGCUACAUUGAUAUUUUAUAUUAUUGUUGUUGUUUCAAUAAUUGUCACUACACAAUAUUUUCCAUUAUCAGAUCAAUAAUUCAAUUCAUAUUAUUUGAAUAAUAUUAUUAGAUAGCAUUAUUGGCAAUUUCUAGAAAGUUCUGUCUAAGGAGAGGUUUGGUCACCUACUUACGCACCAGUAAGGAGAAAUCCUUAUUGAAAAGCCCCAUCUUUUCUAGGAACGACCUGGUUGUCAGUAUUGUGAUUCUAUAAUAUUAUUUGUGAAUAAUUAAUUAUUGAUUUAUAUGAUAAGAAAAAUAUUCAUUUUAUGUGGAUAUAGAUGGAGAAAAUUUUUAAAAGUGACAAUUGUUGAAAAUUGAUAUUUUAUCUUUUCUGAUAAAAUAAUUCAUUUAAAUAUAUUAUUAUAUUAUAAUAAUAUAAUAAUGGUGAUAUUUUUAUAAUGAAUGCGUGAUAUAUGAAUAAAUGAGGAGGAAGAGUAUUUUUGUUAUAAAAAAUGUUUAACACAUGUUUUGUGUGUUGAUGGACCCCAUUUUGACUGAAAUUUGAUUAUAACCUGCAAAAUCGUCCGUAUGUGGAUUUCAGUCAUUUUCUGUUUGGAAUUUUGAAACACCUUCUUCUGCAAAGUUGUAAAGAAUUAAACUUCCUAUGAAAUUGACAUAAGAUUUGAAUUUUUCUGAUAAAAGGGCUAUUUAUUAUGAAUUAUUGAAGUUCCGGAAUAUUGGGUUUAAAUUGAUUUAGUUACAAAAAAUAUUUAAAACAUGUUUUUCAUGUUGGCAGGCCCUACUAGCAUGUGUGAAUUGCUGAAAUUCAGAUUUCAAAGAGUGCGUAUAAUAUUUUUAUAAAUAUUAUUAUUUUAUUAAAUUUUCUACUUUGGUGUUCUAAGCAUUUUCCUAUAAAUAGUGUGCUUAGGUUAGAAUUGAAAAUCACACCAGAAACUGAAAUUUUCUCUCUCUAUAUUAUCGAGCGUAUUUUUGUGAGUAUUUAGAUAUCUUGAAAGUUGUUAUACGGUGCAAGUUUCCUUCAGUGUUAUAUCUGAUAUUCCAGCCAGAAGUACUAUUCUUUUGAAGUAAGGUAUGUUAUUUUUUUUAAUAAAUGAUAUUAUUUCUUUCAAUAUCAUUAUGCCGGAAUAUUGGUAAGAUUUUUCUUGUGAAAUUCUUAUCUUUUCAUGUCGGGGUUACUAUUCAUGAGUUAUUAUUCACGAGUUACUAUUCAUGAGUACUAUUCACGAAGCAUGAUGAUUUUCUUAUGAAAUUUCUACCUUUUAGUGUCGGAGUUACUAUUCACGUAUACAGUACUAUUCAUGUAUACGUGACUGUUCACGAAUACGACACUAUUCAUAGAAAAAUUAAAUUUUCUUUUUUGUGUCCAAGAUUGUCUGUUAUGGUUCCUAUCUUUGAUUGGAUCUAUGUUUUGAUCUUCAUUUUUGAAUUCUGCUUCACAAUAGUUUAUUAUGGAGUAUUUUUGAACUUGGAUUGUCUAAAAUACGAAUCUUUAAUAUUUGUUCUUUUGUCUCACUGGAUUCGUUUUCUUUAAAAUAUUUUUCAUCAUCCUCAGUCCUAAAUGAUGAUAUUACUGAUCAUCUUUGGCCUGUAGUGCAAAGAUGAAUGAUUUCUUGAUGAAUAUCGUUGGCCCGUAAUGCAAAGAUGAACAGGUGUUGAGAUGAACAUGACCAACUGAUGAAUAUCUUUGGCCCGUAGUGCAAAGAUGAAUAUUUGAUUCAAGAUGUAUAUUGAUUGAUGUUACAGGGAUAAAAUAUCGAUGAUGGACUUUUAAAUUCAUAGAUGAUAGUAGAUUUCAUUCUCUACUUAACUCUUCUAAUGAAUUGUUAUUUUCGAUGCAGUUGUUAAUCUAAAACUUGUUGCUUAUUGUAUUCUAUCAGAUUUUUCCAUGUUGAAGACUAAGGAUAAUUUGUUGUACAUUAUCUUAGUCAUAAUAUUUUUUACUAGGCUAGUUGAGCUCACCCUUUUCCUUUUUGUUCCAUUUUUCUUCUUAGGGGACGAGAAUAUAGCGGGAACUAG
rnacentral:lncRNA from 1 species